UACGGAGGGAGCUAGCGUUGUUCGGAAUUACUGGGCGUAAAGCGCACGUAGGCGGCGAUCUAAGUCAGAGGUGAAAGCCCGGGGCUCAACCCCCGGAAUAGCCUUUGAGACUGGAUUGCUUGAAUCCAGGAGAGGUGAGUGGAAUUCCGAGUGUAGAGGUGAAAUUCGUAGAUAUUCGCAAGAACACCAGUGGCGAAGGCGGCUCACUGGCCCGGUACUGACGCUGAGGUGCGAAAGCGUGGGGAGCAAACAGGG
rnacentral:rRNA from 1 species